GACGUCGUGGAGGCCCGAACCCACUUAGGUUGAAAAACUGAGGGGAUGAGCUGUGGGUAGGGGUGAAAGGCCAAUCAAACUCCGUGAUAGCUGGUUCUCCCCGAAAUGCAUUUAGGUGCAGCGUCGCGUGUUUCACUCUGGAGGUAGAGCUACUGGAUGGCCGAUGGGCCCACAAGGUUACUGACGUCAGCCAAACUCCGAAUGCCAGAGUGUGAGAGCGCGGCAGUGAGACUGCGGGGGAUAAGCUUCGUAGUCGAGAGGGAAACAGCCCAGAUCGCCGGCUAAGGCCCCUAAGCGUGUACUAAGUGGAAAAGGAUGUGGGGUCGCGAAGACAACCAGGAGGUUGGCUUAGAAGCAGCCACCCUUGAAAGAGUGCGUAAUAGCUCACUGGUCAAGUGAUCCUGCGCCGACAAUGUAGCGGGGCUCAAGUACACCGCCGAAGCCGCGGCAUUCACAUAACACCCAUGCGGGUCUACGGGCCUGUGUGCAGUGGUGUGGAUGGGUAGGGGAGCGUCGUGCAGCCAUGGAAGCGCCGGAGUGAUCCAGGUGUGGAGGCUGCACGAGUGAGAAUGCAGGCAUGAGUAGCGAAAGACGAGUGAGAAACUCGUCCGCCGAAUGACCAAGGGUUCCUGGGCCAGGUUAAUCCGCCCAGGGUGAGUCGGGACCUAAGGCGAGGCCGACAGGCGUAGUCGAUGGACAACGGGUUGAUAUUCCCGUACCCGUGUGAACGCGCCCCUGGUGAAUCAGUGAUGCUAAGCGCCCUGAAGCCGCCUUCGAACCUUCGGGUUCUCCGGUGUGUGGAUGCGCGUGAACCGAUCUGGUAGUAGCCAAGCGAUGGGGUGACGCAGGAAGGUAGCUGAGCCAGUCAGUGGUAAUACUGGUGUAAGCGUGUAGGGCGUGACCUAGGCAAAUCCGGGUCACAUACAGCCUGAGACGUGAUGCGUAGCCGAUUGAGGCGAAUUCAGUGAUCCUAUGCUGCCGAGAAAAGCCUCUAGCGAGCUUUCACACGGCCCGUACCCCAAACCGACACAGGUGGUCAGGUAGAGAAUACUAAGGCGAUCGAGAUAACUGUGGUUAAGGAACUCGGCAAAAUGCCCCCGUAACUUCGGGAGAAGGGGGGCCUCGUCUGGUGACGGAACUUGCUUCCUGAGCUGGGUGGGGCCGCAGAGACCAGAGAGAAGCGACUGUUUACUAAAAACACAGGUCCGUGCGAAGUCGUAAGACGAUGUAUACGGACUGACGCCUGCCCGGUGCUGGAAGGUUAAGAGGACCGGUUAGCCAGUAAUGGCGAAGCUGAGAAUUUAAGCCCCAGUAAACGGCGGUGGUAACUAUAACCAUCCUAAGGUAGCGAAAUUCCUUGUCGGGUAAGUUCCGACCUGCACGAAUGGCGUAACGACUUCUCUGCUGUCUCAACCACAGACUCGGCGAAAUUGCAUUACGAGUAAAGAUGCUCGUUACGCGCGGCAGGACGAAAAGACCCCGGGACCUUCACUAUAGCUUGGUAUUGGUGUUCGGUUCGGUUUGUGUAGGAUAGGUGGGAGACUGUGAAGCGGGCACGCCAGUGUUCGUGGAGUCGUUGUUGAAAUACCACUCUGAUCGUAUUGGACAUCUAACCUCGGACCAUGAUCUGGUUCAGGGACAGUGCCUGGUGGGUAGUUUAACUGGGGCGGUUGCCUCCCAAAAUGUAACGGAGGCGCCCAAAGGUUCCCUCAGCCUGGUUGGCAAUCAGGUGUCGAGUGCAAGUGCACAAGGGAGCUUGACUGUGAGACUGACAGGUCGAGCAGGGACGAAAGUCGGGACUAGUGAUCCGGCACCGGCAAGUGGAAGCGGUGUCGCUCAACGGAUAAAAGGUACCCCGGGGAUAACAGGCUGAUCUUCCCCAAGAGUCCAUAUCGACGGGAUGGUUUGGCACCUCGAUGUCGGCUCGUCGCAUCCUGGGGCUGGAGUAGGUCCCAAGGGUUGGGCUGUUCGCCCAUUAAAGCGGCACGCGAGCUGGGUUUAGAACGUCGUGAGACAGUUCGGUCUCUAUCCGCCGCGCGCGUUAGAAACUUGAGGAAGGCUGUCCCUAGUACGAGAGGACCGGGACGGACGAACCUCUGGUGUGCCAGUUGUUCCGCCAGGAGCACUGCUGGUUAGCUACGUUCGGAAGGGAUAACCGCUGAAAGCAUCUAAGCGGGAAGCCUGUUCCAAGAUGAGGUUUCUCACCCCCUCGAGGGGGUAAGGCCCCCGGCAGACCACCGGGUUGAUAGGCCAGAACUGGAAGCACAGUAAUGUGUGGAGGUGACUGGUACUAAUAGGCCGAGGACUUACCACAA
rnacentral:rRNA from 1 species